rnacentral:rRNA from 1 species
AAGACCUUGCGCUUUUGGAGCGGCCGAUGCCUGAUUAGCUAGUUGGUGGGGUAAUGGCCUACCAAAGCUUCGAUCAGUAGCUGGUCUGAGAGGACGGCCAGCCACACUGGGACUGAGACACGGCCCAGACUCCUACGGGAGGCAGCAGUGGGGAAUUUUGGACAAUGGGCGCAAGCCUGAUCCAGCCAUGCCGCGUGAGUGAAGAAGGCCUUCGGGUUGUAAAGCUCUUUCAGCCGGGAAGAAAAGGUUGCGAUUAAUAAUCGCAAUUUAUGACGGUACCGGAAGAAGAAGCACCGGCUGACUACGUGCCAGCAGCCGCGGCAAUACGUAGGGUGCGAGCGUUAAUCGGAAUUACUGGGCGUAAAGGGUGCGCAGGCGGUUUUGUAAGUCAGAUGUGAAAUCCCCGGGCUUAACCUGGGAACU